rnacentral:rRNA from 1 species
GGGGAUAUGGCGACGGGUGAGUACACGUGGGCAAUCUGCCCUUCACUCUGGGACAAGCCCUGGAAACGGGGUCUAAUACCGGAUAACACUCUGUCCCGCAUGGGACGGGGUUAAAAGCUCCGGCGGUGAAGGAUGAGCCCGCGGCCUAUCAGCUUGUUGGUGGGGUAAUGGCCUACCAAGGCGACGACGGGUAGCCGGCCUGAGAGGGCGACCGGCCACACUGGGACUGAGACACGGCCCAGACUCCUACGGGAGGCAGCAGUGGGGAAUAUUGCACAAUGGGCGAAAGCCUGAUGCAGCGACGCCGCGUGAGGGAUGACGGCCUUCGGGUUGUAAACCUCUUUCAGCAGGGAAGAAGCGAAAGUGACGGUACCUGCAGAAGAAGCGCCGGCUAACUACGUGCCAGCAGCCGGGGGUAAUACG